CUGGAAUCGAACCGGGGUCUGUAGUGAUUCCUCCAGCACUGAGAUGCAGUGCCUUUAGACCGCUGCGCCACUCGGGGGAAAUAGUAGGCAGCAUCUUCUUGAUGUGUGCAACAGUUCAACAUUCUCCUUCUACUACCAUUUCUGUCAAACCAUCUACACAUACAGUUUGAUCACAUACAUUCGAUAAAUCCAACGUACUGUAUGAACCACACAGAACACACUGCAACUGCCUCUGCAACGCUAUGCUGCAAAGGAAACGCAGCGCUUCAUUGGAAAUUAAUGUAGUUCCGGUUUACCAAAAUGCUAUGACGCUGUCGGUGUGUUCGAGGCGUAAGAGCAGGGGAGAGCACAGUGACAGACUGGAGCCUGGCCUGUAUGGCUUCAUCAUGUGGCCACCUAGUCACAGCCUUGCCUGGUGUGAACAUAUUCACUUUUUCUGUGGGUGGGAAGGGGUGUAUGAUGGGGUGUUAUUCUCAAUUGAUUCUAUGUAUUUGUCUUCAUGUGGACAAUAAAGUAUAUCAUUCACUACCUUUCAAAAGUUUGGAGUCACUUAGAAAUGUCC
ensembl:lncRNA